GCGCCCGUGGCUCAAUUGGAUAGAGCGCUUGACUACGGAUCAAGAGGUUGGGGGUUCGAGUCCUCCCGGGCGCGCCA
rnacentral:tRNA from 1 species